AAAAAAAAAAAAAAACCAAACAAGAUUUAACUGGCUCAUGGUUCUGCAGGCUGUGCAAGCAUGGAGCCCACAUCACUUUGCUUCUUUUUUCCUGUUCCACGGCUCGUCUCCAAAGAUCCUGUUCACAACCUCCCAGGCCAUGUAAUGCUGGAGAUAACUGUGCCUAGUAACAUUGCUACAAUGCUGCCAUACAGCUGUGCAUGGGUGAUGCCUGUCAUUUUCAAUAUAACUGUGAACAGUGAAGCAAGAUGGAGGUGUGGUAUGACAAUGCUGCGAUGAAUACACCUGUGCAUUCUUUUUUAGAACAAGUGUAAGGAUUCCUAUGUGCUUGGUACAUUCGUCCGCUUAUGACACUGGAAAGAGCCCAGGAAGUAACAGGGUUGAUGGUGGCAGCACCGAAGGAAAUUGAAGGAACUCUGUUGAGAAGAGGUGGGAGAGGUGACAGCUGCCUAGCCUGCCUUGCGGGGAGGCUUUCCAAGUCAGAGCAGGAUGGUGCUGACAUCCCCUUCUGCAGAGAGGUUGCUCACAGAACCACAAUUCUUCAUGAGCAAGAGGAGUCCGAGAGCCCUCAAAAUUGCAGCAACAGCAGAGGGCCCUGGCUGGGGCUGCAGCAGACACCUCAGCAGGCCACAAGAGCUGGAGCUGUGCGGAUGCGGGGGCCUUGGCUUUCCUGGCUGAGCUCUAGCCCUAGGAGAGGACAGAGGCCCAUCCAUGCACUCCUGAGGUCACAACACACUCUGAUCAUUCCCUCAAACCAGGUAUCCCCUGGAAGGAUUCGGCCGGCAACCCUCCAUCCGGGGCAGCUUCUCCACCUCCCUCCUCCAAGGCAAGGCGCUUUCCCCAAGGCUCUGGGCUUGCUGGCUUCACUUCUUGGCGACUAACCAAGGACUCUGGCCCUUGAGGAGGUAUAGAGAAGGAGCAUUUGAGAAGGAAGCUCUCUGGUGAUCGGCGCGUCCGGGGGUGCCUCCCUGACCAGGACAUCCCCUGCCCCCAGCCACUGGCUGCCAGACUCCCAGCCCCUCAGAGUUGGGAGGUGCUCUCUCUACCCUCUUCCCUCCAUCACCAUCCCACUUGUCCUCCCCUACCUGAGAAGCGAACGUGGCCCAGGCUCAAGCUCACUGGAAGGUUCUAUCGAGGAAAGGAGCUUGAGCCCAGGGUGGGGACUGCCUGCAUGCAGGACCAGCUCCUCUGUCUCUGCUUUGUAACACCCCUCCCAGCUGACUCAGUCCUCUGCUUAUUCUGUCCACACUGGCCACCGUAGGAGCUUCUGUCCUCAGCAGUCGUGCCCUAGCUGGCUGCACCCCUCACUUAGCACUUAGCACACUCGUCCCUGAUGGGUGUGCUCCUGGUGGUUCUGGUGAAGCUCCUGGAGGGUGGAGGAGUGUGCUCUUUGGUGUGCUCUGGCGAAACUCCUGGAGGAGCUGGGUCUUACAGUCCUAGGGGCCUCUUCCCUCUCCUUCCCAGCCUGGCAGGAAGCACAGUGUCUGCACACAGCAGCUGCUUAAUGAAGCUGGCUGAUGACUCAGCAAGUGGUAGAUGUGUAUGAGCCCCCGUCGAUGGCUGGAUUGUAGGGGAAACACUGAACUAGGUCCCUCCUGAGCCUGGGAGUAAGAAAGUUCCUGCUCUUUAAGAGUUCACUAUCAAAAAUGGAAGAGCCCCUUUGCACACUCUCACAUAAAGUGGAGGAAGAAAAGAACACUGAGUUCCAGACAGUUGCAGGGAGGAGAGACUCCACCAACUGAGAAGCCCAGAACUGUCUUUCCAGGGUCAUGGGAUCUGAGCUGGGCCUUGAAAGGAGGCAGAUAAGAAGCAAUGGCAUCUGCAGGUGGUCCAUGUAAACCCUGCAAGAGAUCAGAGGAACAAAGGCAUGUUAAUGAGGACACACAGGCCGGCUGUACAGUGCUUUCUUCCAGGCUCAUCAAACUCCCGAUGCCUCACUCACUGGAAACAGGUUUAAUUAUUCCCAUUAUACAGAAAGGGGACAGAAGCAAAUCGCUCAGAAAACUUGACCUAGAGGCAAAUGAUGAGUUCUGGGCAAAGCCAAGAACACACUUCAGGCUAGGCGCGGUGACUCACGCCUAUAAUCCCAGCACUUUGGGAGGC